CCUACGGGUGGCAGCAGUGAGGAAUAUUGGUCAAUGGACGCAAGUCUGAACCAGCCAAGUAGCGUGCAGGAUGACUGCCCUCUGGGUUGUAAACUUCUUUUAUAUGGGAAUAAAAUGUUCCACGUGUGGGUUUUUGUAUGUACCCUAUGAAAAAGGAUCCGCUAACUCCGUGCCAGCAGCCGCGGUAAUACGGAGGAUCCGAGCGUUAUCCGGAUUUAUUGGGUUUAUAGGGAGCGUAGGUGGCUUGUUAAGUCAGUUGUGAAAGUUUGCGGCUCAACCGUAAAAUUGCAGUUGAAACUGGCAGUCUUGAGUGCAGUAGAGGUUGGCGGAAUUCGUGGUGUAGCGGUGAAAUGCUUAGAUAUCACGAAGAACUCCGAUUGCGAAGGCAGUUGACUGGACUGCAACUGACACUGAGGCUCGAAAGUGUGGGUAUCAAACAGGAUUAGAUACCCCUGUAGUC
rnacentral:rRNA from 1 species